GACCCCGGGACUUUCUUGGGGCCGCAUUCAGACCCCUUUACUGCCCGGUGCCUCCAUCUCCGGCUUCUGGGUGUGCUGGGGGCCAACAGCUGACAGCCACCCCCUUCUCUGAAUAGUUAAUUGUCCUUGGCUGAUGGGAACUGCUGCACCCUGGAAGUUAUCACUCCCCAAACACCUGGAGCUCAUGAUUGACUGGGGUUGCAGUAUAAAGGCCCAGCUCCUUUGCCUCCAAGAGAGUUGACUCGUGCUAUUCGUGCUCCGAGCUCCUCUGGAAUGAAGUUGAAGGAGUGAGAAUCCCCAGAAUAAUGAGAGGACAACCAGCAGGGGAAGGAAGUCCCUGGGAGGCCUGGCCCUGUGCACAGCUGACAGGAGCGUGGCCUCCUCAGGAACCUCCAAGGAUUUGGCUUCGGAACAGUGCAGGGCUGCACCCACACUGAGACGAGCUCGGUUUCCUCAGGACCGGCUGGGAGGUGCCUCCAUGGGAGAAAAAGAAACCUGUAUGGGACAUUUUAUGGCAGCUUUAUUCAUAACAGCCAAAACUUGGAAGCAACCAAGAUGUCCUUCAGGAGGUGAAUGGACACACAGACUGGUCUCCAUCCAUGCAACAGAAUGUUCUUCAGCACUGAAAAGAUAUGAGAGAGAUAUGGAGCCAUGGGGAGAUGGGAGGGGCACCUUAAGUGCAUGUCACUUACCAAAAGAAGCCAAUCUGGGGCUUCCCUGGUGGCGCAGUGGUUGAGAAUCUGCCUGCCAAUGCAGGGGACACGGGUUCGAGCCCUGGUCUGGGAAGAUCCCACAUGCCGCGGAGCGACUAGGCCCGUGAGCCACAAUUGCUGAGUCUGCGCGUCUGGAGCCUGUGCUCUGCAACAAGAGAGGCCGUGAUAGUGAGAGGCCCGCGCACCGCGAUGAAGAGUGGCCCCCACUUGCCACAACUAGAGAAAGCCCUCGCACAGAAACGAAGACCCAACACAGCCAUAAAUAAAUAAAUAAAUAAAUAAAUAAAUAAAUAAAAAUAAAAAAAACCAAUCUGGAAAGGUGGCAUAGCUUAGGGUACCAACCACAUAUGACAUUCAGGAAAAGGCAAACCAAAGAAAGGGUGGGUUGCCAAGGGUUUGUGGCAGGGUUGAGGGGUGGGGCAUGAUAAACAGGUCGAGCACAGAGGAUUUUUUUUUUUUUUUUGGUAUCUUUUUAAUAACUUUAUUGAGGUAAAAUUCACAUACCAUACAAUUCACCCAUUUAAAGUAUACAAUUCAGUGGCUUUUAGUAUAGUCACAGAAUUGUGCAUCUAUCACCACUAUCAAUUUUAGAACCUUUUUAUUACCCCCAAAAGAAACUUUGUACUUUCAGUCUCUACUUCUCAGUACUCUCAAAUCCCCCAGCUCUAGGCAACAACUAAUUUUCUAUUUUCUGUCUCUGUAGAGUUGCCUAUUGUGGACAUUUCAUAAAAAUGGAAUUAUACAA